UGUCGCAUGGCGCACCGGACAGUCCGGUGCGCCACCGGAUCCGGUGCGCCACCGGACAGUCCGGUGCGCCUGCCAUGA
rnacentral:pre_miRNA from 1 species